GGAGUGGUAGUUCAGCCGGUUAGAAUACCUGCCUGUCACGUAGGGGGUCGCGGGUUCGAGUCCCGUCCAUUCCGCCA
rnacentral:tRNA from 1 species